GUACAUAUAAUUUAAAUAAAAUAUUAGACUGUGAUUCUAAUUAUGUAAGUUAAAAUCUUUCUAUAGACCGAGAAGAGUUAGAAACGCAGAAGCUGCUAAUUAUCUGCACC
rnacentral:tRNA from 1 species